UUCUAAAAGAUAUCAUUUAAACAUUCUCCUAUACAUUAAUAAAACAACGUUUUGAACAGUAAAAAAGGGUACUUUUGGUGUUUCACCAACAACACGCAUCAUCCUCACUUCUGAUUGCACAGAGACAGAAGGAGAAAGAAGUGAGAUAAGGAAGACGACGAUGAUAGCGAUUUUGGUUACAAAGCGGCGAUGAUGACGGAGAUGGCUGCGAAAAGGUUCAGUCGUUAGCGGCGGCGGCGGUUAGGGUUCCGCCAUGAAACAUGGUAUCGCCAUUGUUCUCUUUAUCAGAAUCGCUAUCGGGUGGGCUAAGUUCCAGGGUUCCGGCCGCCGUUCAAUUGAAGGUAAUGACGAUUAAGAAGGCAAUGAUGGAGGUUCUGGUUAUAGGCAUGUCGGUGACUUUAGAAACGAACUCUGUGACUCAACUAGGGUUCCAGCAAGAUUACGGGGCGCCUUUUUACACUAAAAGGGUCUUCUUCAGUUUAUUAAGACACCUAACUGGUCAGAUGUGAAUUUUACCACCCAUUCAGCUGAUGUUGUUUGUGGCUCCUCGAGCAUCUUUUGGUUUUAAGACCAAAGAAAGAACUGCAGCCGCUUCGUCUAAUGUCGGACCUCCAAAAACUGAUCAUCUAAAAAGAAAAGUUGCCCCAUAUCAACUUCCAGAUUCAAAGGCGAGGAGCCUGCCACAAAGCCCAUUACCAGUCAUGAGAAAAAUCGCUACCCUAGGCUUUCAGACUCCAAGGCCUCAAAGUCAAGUGAUUUACAGUCGAGUCAGAGUGGGGUGAUGCAUGACCCAAAGUGGUGCAGGAACUUCCUCGAGCGUAUGGUGGACACUGCUGAGAAAAAACAUUGCAAGGCAAUGACCCACGUCCAGUUAAAGGUGAUGGCUUUAAACGUGGUCUGUAGCAAGACGAUGGUGGUUAAUAGUGGUAACGGCCGCCUCCAGAGGCGAGGCAAGUGCCUGAUGCCAUGGUGACAACUACGUUGUUUUUCACGCCGACGGUGACGACGGAGUUGUUUUUCACUCCGGUGGUGGGAAGGUCGUAGAAACAAGGGGUUAUGGUUCCGUAAAUCCAACUAAUCUUAACCACCAGUUGUCAUUCCGCUUGACGUCCUAGACUGUAUCCAGGGUUUCAGUGGUGGCUGUGUUAACGGAAGAAAUACGUUUGUUGCCGCCAUUGGCUAUAAAGAAGGUUCAAUCUAUCUUUCUUCUUUGAUAACCUGGCUAUAAAGAAGCUAUAAUGGCUUGCUGACACACGAAACUGGGCUAAAAGAUUCAAGAAGAAUGGAGGAUUCUCGAAAAAGACUUACCUGAUAUGAUAUUUGUUACGGACUUACGGUUUAUGAAUCGAGGAUGGGUCUUUAAAAAGCGUCAUAAUGGGAGCUGAAGGAACGCGGUAUUAUGAUUGUCUUUUUUCCUUUGAUGUGUGCUUCCCUAAAACCUAUCCUCAUGAUCCAUCUGUACGUUUUAUUAUUUCCUUUUUCCACUAUAUCCUAUGGUUUGAUUUUAUUAUGUAAUAAAGGGUGUUCGGGUCCCUCCGGACCUGUACUGAACCGCAACCAAAAAAUUAGGACUAAUGGAACCAAGAACCAGAGCAAUCCAAAAUGGUUUGGUAUUUAGUUCUGCAAUUUCAGUUUAAAGCUGAUUUUGCCCUAACUAGAUAAUAAACUGAAUAAAAAUUGGUUUAAAAUGUUAUAUGUUUCGAAAACCGUAAAUAUAACAUGUUCAGUUUCAAGUUUGAAAAUAAUAGUUGUAGAAUAUAUCAAUUCAGUUCUGGUUUACAGAAGAAGAAAUUUAUGAAGGGCGAGGUGGCAUUGAAAAGGUUAAAUAUAUAUUGAUUAGAAACUAUAUUAAUAUUAAAUAGAAGGAAAAUGUGUUAAGUUGAGUGUCAAAAUAAAUGUUAAAGAUUGAAUGAUGGGUUGUCGAUUCAGCGGUAGGUUUAUGUAUAUUAUACGGAUUGAAGUUUUGAUACUUGCUUAUUGAGGUUUUCGUAUGCUUGAGCCCUAAAUGACAAAUUACAUGUUUUAAGUUUGUUGAAUAUUCUGCCUCUUUUUGGUUUGCAGAUUUCUUAGUAUCAGGCACUAACCUUAAAACAAUGGCAGGUAAGCAAAAAAAAACAACUUUUCCAUUUUCUUUUAGUUUGCAGAUUAUGUAUUAAAAUGUGGACUCAAUAUUUUGAAAAGUGAUAUGGACAGUUGUAGUAUUUUGUUUAUGCCAUGUCAGAUCUGGAGCUAUAUUUCUAUGCAUGCUGCUUACUCCGUUAUGGUUCUUAUUCCGUACUUUCGGUACUUCUUUUGUGGUUAAACAUUUUGUUAUUGAGUUUCGAUCACAACCACCCAAACGAUUUCCACUAUUAACAAUAUUCUUACCAUAAUGCGUUUCAAUUUAAUAUGUUUGUAUGAUUCUA